rnacentral:rRNA from 1 species
AUGGGAGCCCGCUCCCUGAGAUUAGGGGCGGAGGGGUGAGUACACGUGGGGACCUGGCUAUUAGCUGGGGAAACUUCGGGAAACGGAGCUAUACCGGAUACUUCUUUUCUCGCAUGAGAGAGAUGGAAAGACGGGUUACGCUGUCACUUAUAGAUGGGCCCGCGGCGCAUUAGCUUGGUUGGGGAGGGAAUGGCUCACCAAGGCGACGAUGCGUAGCCCACCUGGGGAGGGGUGAUCGGCCACACUGGGACUGAAACACGGCCCAAACUCCUACGGGAGGCAGCAGUAGGGAAUCUUCCGCAAUGGACGAAAGUCUGACGGAACAACCCCGCGUGAACAAAGAAGGCCUUCCGGGUCGUAAAGUUCUGUUGUUAGGGAAAAAACAAGUACCAGAGUAACUGCUGGUACCUUGACGGUACCUAACCAGAAAGCCACGGCUAACUACGUGCCAGCAGCCGCGGUAAUACGUAGGUGGCAAGCGUUGUCCGGAAUUAUUGGGCGUAAAGCGCGCGCAGGUGGUUCUUUAAGUCUGAUGUGAAAGCCCACGGCUCAACCCGUGGAGGGUCAUUGGAAACUGGGGAACUUGAGUGCAGAAGAGGAAAGUGGAAUUCCAAGUGUAGCGGUGAAAUGCGUAGAGAUUUGGAGGAACACCAGUGGCGAAGGCGACUUUCUGGUCUGUAACUGACACUGAGGCGCGAAAGCGUGGGGAAGCAAACAGGAUUAGAUACCCUGGGUAGUCCACGCCGUAAACCGAUGAGUGCUAAGUGUUAGAGGGUUUCCGCCCUUUAGUGCUGCAGCUAACGCAUUAAGCACUCCGCCUGGGGAGUACGGCCGCAAGGCUGAAACUCAAAGGAAUUGACGGGGGCCCGCACAAGCGGUGGAGCAUGUGGUUUAAUUCGAAGCAACGCGAAGAACCUUACCAGGUCUUGACAUCCUCUGACAACCCUAGAGAUAGGGCGUUCCCCUUCGGGGGACAGAGUGACAGGUGGUGCAUGGUUGUCGUCAGCUCGUGUCGUGAGAUGUUGGGUUAAGUCCCGCAACGAGCGCAACCCUUGAUCUUAGUUGCCAGCAUUCAGUUGGGCACUCUAAGGUGACUGCCGGUGACAAACCGGAGGAAGGUGGGGAUGACGUCAAAUCAUCAUGCCCCUUAUGACCUGGGCUACACACGUGCUACAAUGGAUGGUACAAAGGGCUGCAAACCUGCGAAGGUAAGCGAAUCCCAUAAAGCCAUUCUCAGUUCGGAUUGUAGGCUGCAACUCGCCUACAUGAAGCCGGAAUCGCUAGUAAUCGCGGAUCAGCAUGCCGCGGUGAAUACGUUCCCGGCGCCUUGUACACACCGCCCGUCACACCACGAGAGUUGUCACACGCGAAGUCGGUGAG